GCUUCCUUGACUUCAGAAGCUGAAAAAUGGCAAAAGAGAAAGAAGAACUGAAGACGUUUAAGGAUUUGGGGAUAUGCGAACAAUUGUUGGAAGCGUGUGACAGUUUGGGAUGGAAAAACCCUACGAAGAUACAGGUCGAAGCAAUUCCUCAUGCUCUCGAAGGCAAAGACUUGAUCGGUCUUGCGCAAACGGGUUCGGGUAAAACAGGAGCUUUUGCUCUUCCCAUAUUACAAUCGCUUCUUGAAGCUUCCGAG
rnacentral:misc_RNA from 1 species